ensembl:lncRNA
CAUUAACCUAUAAAAGGACAAAGAGGUGUAGGUCCCUAGCUACGUCGUAAGAUGGCGAUUCUGCAGAAAUAAAGUUGGUGACCGAUUUUUUUUAACUAGGCAAAGUCUAUUGCAAAUAACAUUUUAGAUUACAUUGCAUUUACACUUGUUGAAACUCUGCAUCAUUAAAAUAUAACUUAAUUGUUGGUAGCAUAAUGCUCAACGCACGGUGGGCGGUAUGCACAUGCAGAAGACUGCUUCUAGGGCGCUUUGAAAAGGGCACGAAGACUUGUGUCAUGGCUGCCCUUGUGGGCAAGGGGAACACUGACGACGUUUUUCUUAUUUUGCAAUAUAAAAGUUAAUAGUUAAACUACGUAAAAUGCGUUUAAGUGCGCUAAUGUAACAUGCUGCAUCGUUAAAAUAUUUGGUUUAAUUACAUUUCCGUGUGCCCUUUUGUUGGCUCGAGCCAAUUCUGGGUUAUGCAAUGGCGAUUCGUUGACAUCACAGUGGCGCUCUUGUUGCUGGGGAUUCUAGUAGAUUCUGUAACCAUUUGGAGAAUCGCUGAGGAUCUCGGAGUUUGAAAUUCGAAUGAAUGGCGGGAACGCAUAGUAGACUGUCUGGUCGGAGUAGCGAGCACAGUCAUGUUGCCUGGCAAAUCCCAUUCAUCACGAGUGAAUGAAUGCGUCGGGAGUAGGCGGAGUCGGUAUUCCCCCCUCUCAGUAGAGAUUACAGGCAACAUGGCAAGCGCUGAUGUUGAGGCAGCAGAGCCUAAGAGGAGAUCUGAGAGAUUGGUAAAUAAACCUGCAAUUGCAAAGGCAGAGCCCAAGCCAAAGAAGGAGAAGGCAGCACCUAAACCCAAGAAGGCUAAAGAGGUGAAAAAGACCGAGCCUGAGAAGGAGGUGCCCGCAGAGAAUGGAGAAGCCAAAGCUGAGGAAGAGGCACCAGAAGAACCUGAACAGAAAGAGGAAGAAGAGGCGGCCGAAUAACAUCUCUCAAACCACAUCUUUUAUCAGUGCUCCCUGUACCUCUUUUUCUUGUACAAUUCAGGGGUAUAUUUUUAUCGACUAUUUUCUAAAUGCAGGUUUUUUAGUAGUUUGAUUGUAGAAACACAUUUUUUUAUGAAAUAAAAAAUACAAUUUGAGAUGGGGAUUUCAUUGCAUCCCAUGUUUUUACAUCUCUGGAACAAUUACGGUCAUUGUAAAUGUCAACGGUUUUUAUUUUCGAUAUGGGGGAGGGGUGGGAAUGAGACAGGUUACUACACCAAGAACAUGCAAGCACGUCGUUUACAGGAUCUGGUCAAAACAACAGAGAGCUUGUCUGAGAGACUAACAUUCCAUAGGCUAUAUGAGGGAAGGUAUACGUAACCUGCAUUGUGUGGUGGGGAUGAAUUAACUCAAGGGGGAACACAUUGUUUUAUUGUUUAUAAUGAGGAAAACAUUUUAAGGUGUUUAAACUGUGUUCCAUAUGUUAACUCUUGUACUCAUUAUGUUUUUCUUUACCAUUCUGCUCAAUAAACCUAUUCCCUAGUACUGGAGUUCCUCCCUAUCAGGCCUGUGCAUUGGGUGUAAUUGGUUGGCUCUGUUCUGUGAUAGCAUUGCAAUAAAUUUGUAUAGCUGCUAUUAAAAGGGGUUUUCGACUUUCUAUAUGCAGUGUGUAAUGGUACAUUGUGAGUAUGGUAAAAAUGGAAUUGUGUUCUUAGCCAAGCUAAAGAAGUACAUAAGUUAAAUAUACUGACGAUUAUGGUUCCUUGGAUGCUGAGAAACUGUACAUCCAUUUGAGCUGUCAAAUACACAAACCAGCAGUAGCAAUAUUCAUGUGGGGUUUAGGUAUCAAGUACAAGUGUACAGUUCUUUUAUCCUUUGUUUAUAGAUGUAUCUGUGUAAUGAUUGGUAUAAACAAACCAAUAAAAA